rnacentral:misc_RNA from 1 species
UCCGGUUUGUCACCGGCAGUCACGCCAGAGUGCUCAGCUUUACCUGCUAGCAACUGGCAUCGAGGGUUGCGCUCGUUGCGGGACUUAACCCAACAUCUCACGACACGAGCUGACGACAGCCAUGCACCACCUGUCUCCUGGCUCCUUGCGGCACCCCCGAGUUUCCUCAGGGUUCCAGGGAUGUCAAGCCUUGGUAAGGUUCUUCGCGUUGCAUCGAAUUAAACCACAUACUCCACCGCUUGUGCGGGCCCCCGUCAAUUCCUUUGAGUUUCAGUCUUGCGACCGUACUCCCCAGGCGGGACACUUAUCGCGUUAGCUUCGGCACCGAGGGGGUCGAUACCCUCGACACCUAGUGUCCAUCGUUUACGGCUCGGACUAC